CCCAGAUCCAAGACUCAAUUGGGCCAGGCCCAAGCUAAUCAAGCCACUUCUAUUGUGUUUGAGGACUUAGGAACCACAGAUAUGACGCUCAACAGUCUUUUCCCUAGUUAGUGCCAACAACUAAUCGCUCUUCUGAGUUCACAACUACAACGUAGCUCACCUGCCCUUGUGGAAUCGCAGCAACAGGAUGGUCCCUCAGUUUCUAGCUUCAGUGAAUGGAAACAGGCUAUGAGAGUUGAACUCCAUGCUCUUGAGGAGAAUGGUACUUGGUCCUUAACAACUUUACCCCCUGGCAAACGGGAUGUGGGAUGUAAAUGGGUGUACAAGCUCAAGUUUUGAGCUUAUGGGUCUCUUGAGCCGCAUAAAGCUCUCCUAGUUGCCAAAGGAUACACUCAACAAGAAGGUGUGGAUUACAUUGAUACUUUCUCACCUAUAGCAAAACCGGUAACUGUUAAACUUUUAUUGGCUUUAGCUGCUAUCUACGACUGGUGUCUUGUUCAAUUAGACGUCAAUAAUGCUUUCCUUCAAGGUGAUUUAACCGAAGAAGUUUACAUGAGCUUGCCUCAAGGGUAUCCACAUUAGAGGGAGACACUACCAUCUAACACUAUUUGCAUAUUACACAAAUCAAUCUAUGGCCUAAAGCAAGCUUCAAGGCAAUGGUUUGCUAAAUUUUCUGGUUUUUUAUUGGACAAAGGAUUUACCAAGCACAGUGGUGAGUCAUUCCUUGCAUUGUUGGUGUAUGUUGAUGACAUUGUCAUUACUGACAAUGAUUACAGAACUAUUGAAAAGCUGAAAACCUUCCUUGACAGUCAAUUUAAGCUAAAGGAUCUUGGACAACUCAAAUACUUCCUUGGUUUUAAAGUUGCUAGGUCAAGAAAGGGUAUCUCUGUUAACCAAAGACACUAUGCACUUCAAUUAUUAUCAUAUUUUGGUUUUUUAGGUUGCAAACCUGCAAGCAUGCCCAUGGAGGCUAACAUUAAUCUCUCACAAGAUGACGAAGAGUUAUUGGAGGAUCCCAGCUUGUAUAGACGUCUAAUUGGCAAGCUCUUAUAUCUUACAAUCACACGACCAAAUUUGGCUUACUCAGUGAAUCAUCUUAGUCAAUACUUGGCCAGCUCUACAAUACAUCAAGGGUACAAUAGGACAAGGUCUUUACUUUUCUACUACAUCAUCAGUUCAUCUUAAGGCUUUUGCUGAUUCGGAUUAGGGAGCCUGGAAAGAUAUGAGGAGAUCCAUUAGUGGUUUUUGUGUCUUCCUUGGGGACUCCUUAAUCUCAUGGAAAUCUAAGAAACAGAGUGAUGUUUCUCGAUCUUCAGCUGAGGCAGAAUACCAAGCAAUGGCCAACGUGACUUGUGAGCCGAUUUGGUUGACUGCUCUUCUUCAUGAUUUUGGUAUUCAAAGCAAAGAACCUGCUACACUAUUUUGUAACAAUGAAGUGGCUAUUCAUAUUGCGGCCAAUCCUGUUUUCCACAAAAGGAUGAAGCACAUUGAAAUUGAUUGUCACCUUGUCCGAGAGAAGAUACAAGCAGUUUGUCUCAAAACAAUGCAUGUGUCCUCACAGCACCAGAUUGUCGACCUCUUCACUAAAGCUUUAUUUCCAGCACAGUUCAAAUAUCUCCUCAACAAGAUGGGAAUUCAUAAUCUUCAUUCUCCAUCUUGAGGGGGAGUAUUAGAGCUUUGGCAUUUCUGUAAUAAGGGCAAGUAGUACCCUUGAUUAUUACCCUUUGGUUGUUAUUACCCUUUCUUUGUUUUUUUUUUCUUUUUCUAAGCUGAGAGUUGGUUACGGUUUGUUACUCCGGCUCCCAUAUAAACUAGCCUUUUGGCUUUAUUCUAUUGAGAGGUUGAGAAUCAAAGAAUCAAUGCAUUCACUCUGUUUUCUCUCC